rnacentral:sRNA from 1 species
AUGGCCUGAUAGGGUUUGAGCCGUAUCCUGAUUUCUGGACGCCGAGGCAUGCUGUGCGGGGCUCCAAGCAUUGCUGAAAGCUAUACGAUUUUCGAAUAUGAUGACCGUUUCAAGUUUUGGGUUCACAAACGAAAAUUGUAUAUAUCGAAGUUGCAAUUGAGGCUCUCCGUUUUCUCUGGCGAACAUCAUCAAGGUUGAUAGAAAAUGGGCGGAAUCCAUGCGUGAAAGUUCACGCUUUGAUAACUAACCAUCCAUACGACGAACUAAGGCCUAAGGGCUGCCAAUAUUACGAGGAAUUUGGCAGGCAACAGUCUUUAUCAUUUUCCGUGCAAUCAAAAAAAGGAUCUCCGAGGUUAGUUCUGGGCUAACUCGCUUAGCAGUUGCCGAAGGAAUGAUGUCGAUUUUGUGGAUAGUUCGAUAUGGAGAUUGAUGUAGAGUCUUUAUCAUUCCAACCCGCUGCGAUUGGCACCAAUUCUUGAAGUUGGAGACUGCUAACAGGUCACCUUUUCCGAUUAUUGCAUUGUCGUGAAGCGAGAAAUUACCCCAUAUUUCUUGAAACCAGCACAAGGGAGACUACCGGGACUCAAUUUCUCUGUUUGUGGGACAGAUGUCGUCCCAAAAUUCCGGAAGAUUGCCGAAAAUGGGAAGUUUCCGUCGUUAGAGAGAGGACUGCUUGAGAAGCAUUUUCGUUAUUUUAAGGUUUUCUAGAUCAUGAAUAGGGUGUUAUUCCUCAGGAGCAUGACGUCGUUUUCCUGUGGAUUCUUUAUCCUAUGUGUUGCUGAGGCUGUGAUGUUAGGGAUACAUAGAAACAAAUACGAGCUCAUAUCCCCACUUACAUCCACUAAACUCAAUCCCUUGAGAGAGUUCCGAAAGGCUA